rnacentral:rRNA from 1 species
AGGACGAACGCUGGCGGCGUGCUUAACACAUGCAAGUCGAACGAUGAAGCCUAGCUUGCUAGGUGGAUUAGUGGCGAACGGGUGAGUAAUACGUGAGUAACCUACCUUUAACUCUGGGAUAAGCCUGGGAAACUGGGUCUAAUACCGGAUACGACCAAUCUCCGCAUGGGGGUGUUGGUGGAAAGCGUUAUGUAAGUGGUUAUAGAUGGGCUCACGGCCUAUCA